rnacentral:sRNA from 1 species
UAUUCUGCCCCACGGGGAAGGAUGAGAAGCUUCGACUAAGGUUCGACUCGAGCGAAGCGAGAGAACGUUGCCGCAGGCAACGGCCCGAAGGGCGAGG